rnacentral:lncRNA from 1 species
GCUGUUUCCAACGGUCUUCUUCUCUCUAUAUAUAUUGCACCGACCACUCCAUUCUUCUCUCUCUACUCAGCUUUCAGACAGAUCACAUUCCUUCUUCCCUUUCCUCCCGAUUCUCUCUGUUCAUUGGAAACGUUUCGUUUCCUUCCGAUUUCUCUCAAAUUCAAUCGACUGCUUCGACUUUGCUUCUCCGCUCGCUUCUCUGGUAAGGAUCUCCACUGCCGCUUUCUUUUUUUUCCAUUAAAGAUUCAUAUUGCAAAUCUUCUUCUUUGAUUUUGUCAAACAACUCUUUAAUAUUUGUGGUUCUUUUAAUAUUUGUGAUUCUUUUACGAGAUAAAACAUAAAAUCAUGUUCUCUGAGUCAGAUCUGGAAUCCACCGUAACACUCAUUUAGGGAAAAGUCACCAAAAUCUAAGAUCCGUGUAAUCCUUUUUCGGUAACAAACGACCAAUAAAAAAUAUUAAAAAAGAAACCCAGAAAAUCCUCUGUGAAAAUAAAAAAAACGAAAAGAGAUCAAAACCCUAGAUCUUGAAAUAAGACUGAUUACUUCUCCCUGGUUUUUCUGUAAUUAGGUUGUGUGGAGUUUUGGAUUGGAGAAUCUUGAAAUGAAUCUGUAAAAUGCAAUCUUUGUAAUGUUAUUAAGGUUUGAGCUCACCAUUACAACGUAAUGACCUCAAACCCCAUGGGGGAGUCCUAAUCAUAAUGUAUCUUUGUUUUUUAACUGGGUACAAAUUGCAAUGGUGCUGGUUCUGCUAUUUGGGGUUUGAGGGCUAAUUAUAAUGUAUAUAAUUUUCAUUUAGUUUGAGGACAAACUACAAUUGUAUAAUGGAUUGUAUUAUGUUUGUUAUUUCAAUUAUUCAGGGCUUAGAGUUGAAAUUCCAAUGUAUAUCAAUUUUUAUUGGAUGAGAAGCCUAUUGGGUUCUAUUAUUAUUAUUAUAUAUAUUAUAUAUUUUUUUAAUUAGUUGUACUCAAAUUAUGGGUUUUGGAUCUUGUGGUUGUAUUCCAUAUUACAAUAUGUAUGUAAUAUUUGUAGGCGACAAGUCUGUUUAUUUAUCUUCUAAUAUUGUUAUUAAGUUUUGUUAUAUUUUUUACAGGUUAUAUAUAAUAUUUAUAAGUUUGAGCCUAUUGGAUUGUAUUUUUAUUAUUUUCGUCAUGAUAUUACCCACAUUAUUGUAUUUGAAUAAUGGAUUUCAGAUCAUUUGGUUGUAUUUCAUAUUACAAUAUAUAUGUAAUAUUCAUAGGUAUCAAGCCUAUUGAAUUGUUUUAAUAUUGUUACGAAGUUUUGUUAUAUUUUUUACGGGUUGUAUGUAAUAGUUAUAAAGUUCGAGCUUAUUGCGUUGUAAUAUUAUUAUUAUCAUGAUGAUACGACACAUAAUAUUGUAUUUGAAUUAUGAGUUUCGGAUCAUUUGGUUGUAUUCCAUAUUACAAUAUGUAUGUAAUAUUCAUAGGUAUCAAGCCUAUUGAAUUGUUUUAAUAUUGUUACGAAGUUUUGUUAUAUUUUUUACGGGUUGUAUGUAAUAGUUAUAAAUUUCGAGCCUAUUUCGUUGUAAUAUUAUUAUUAUCACGAUGAUAUUACCCACAUUAUUGUAUUAGAAUAAUAGAUUUUGGAUCAUUUGGUUGUAUUCCAUAUUACAAUAUAUAUGUAAUAUUCAUAGGUAUCAAGCCUAUUGAAUUGUUUUAAUAUUGUUACGAAAUUUUGUUAUAUUUUUUACGGGUUGUAUGUAAUAGUUAUAAGUUUCGAGCCUAUUUCGUUUGUAAUAUUAUUAUUAUCACGAUGAUAUGACACACAAUAUUGUUUUUGAAUUAUGGGUUUCAAAUAUUUUAAUUUCAUUCAACAAUAUAAUGAAUGUAACGAAGCCCAUUGACUUGUAUUUUUUUUCUUAGAUAAUUAAACUAUAUUCUUAUUAUUAUGAAGUUUAUUAACUUUUAUGGGUUUUAUAAGUUGCUAAAUUCAGUUGUUAUUAUUAAUUUUUUUUUAAAGUUGUGGGCCGAGCACAAAUUAUAAUUUGAUUUUAACCAAGUUUAAGCAUAUGUUAUUUGUAAUAAUAUUUUUGCGAUGAAUUUCAUUAUUGUUAUUAUUUGUGAUGUAUUAUUGAGGGUUGAACCGAAUUGUAAUGCAUAUUAUAUUUUUUUGAUGUGUUUGUAAAAUUUAGUUGCAUCUAAAAUUGUAUUGACCGACAACAAAGUUUAAUCUUCAAAUUUUAACAAGCAAAUAAGAUUAAAUUAAAACAUUAUAAUAUUAAAAAUGUUAUACUAAGACAUUAUCAAUUUACUUCUUCAAUUUGAUGGUAAAUAAGACUUAAAUUGAAAUAAAAAAUAAACUGAAUUUUGUUGGUGAACAUAAUUUCCUAGUUUGUAAAUAAGAAUGUUAAUUAUUUGACAUACAAGUAUAUUUAUACAGUAUAUUGUGCUAUAUCCAGUAAUUAUAAUGUAUAAUAUUUGUGUAAAACAAUUAUCGUGUAUUGGUUUGCUAGAAAAUAGUAAUAUAAUGAAUUGUAUUCUCAAUUACAAUGAGUAUUUUUUUAGUGAGAUGAAAGUUGACGUAUUGUAAUAUUUUUAUCAGAAAGUUUCACCUACAAUUCGAUCAGAAAAAAUGAGUGCAACUACUUGCAGUUCAGUGAAAAAAAGAAAAAUUCCAAUGCAAAAACGUGAAACAAAAGAGCAGAGAGCUGUUACAUUCAGUAAAAGACGAACGGGUCUGUUUAACAAAGCAGCAGAAUUGUGUGUUCUCUGCAAUACUCAGGUUGUAAUUUUGGUUUCUGCUCCUUUGGCCAAAGAAAAGUUUUAUACUUUUGCACACCCUAACAUCAAUCUUCUUCUCGACACAUUCCUCAAUAACCAUGUCUCUCAUCCCAUCAACAAUUACAAUAAUCUUUCUACUUCUUCGUCUCAUCAAACUAUGGAGCAAUUAACUCCUAACAAUAAUGUGUCCAAGACCAAGAAGAGAAAGAGAGAGUCUGAAGAGUUUUGGUGGGAAAAUGAAGACUUUGAUGUUUACCAAACACCUGAAGAGGUGACAUCAAUCAUCGAGAAGUUAGAAAAGGUGAGAGAAAAUGUGGCGCUCAAACUUCAAAAAUUAUCAACUUCUAAUAAUCAAGAUAUUAACAGUAGCGAUCAUCAAAACUAUCAUCUUGGGUGCUUUGCUGAAAAUAUGAUGAACAUUAAUAAUGAGUACAGUAAAGAGAGUGGUGAUCAAAGUCAGUUUAUGACAUCCGUUGUGUUUCAGAAUUUAUCAACUUCUACUUAUCAUGGUAGUUGCAUUGAUCAAAAUAUAGUAGACAUUGAUGGAUUCAAGAACAAUGUUGAUUUUAUGCAAAUGUUGCCUCUAAAAUCUACUAUGCUUACACACAAUACCAACAAUGGCAGCCAAGAUAUUCAGAAUUAUCACAAUGAUAUGGGUACUACAUUUGAAGCCCCAUUAUUCUUCUCUAAUGGCGUCGAAAAUUAUCAAGAUAUUAGUAGUGGUGAUCAUCAAAACUAUCAUCUUGGGUGCUUUGCUGAAAAUAUAAUGAAUAUUAAUCAUGAGUACAAUAAUGAAAGUGGCGAUCAGAGUCAGUUUAUGCCAUCUGUUGUGUUUCAAAAUUUAUCAACUUCUACUUAUCAAGAUGGUUGCAUUGAUCAAAAUAUGGUGAACGUUGAUGGAAACAAGAACAAUGUUGCUUUUAUGCAGAUGUUGCCUCAAAACUCUACUAUGUUUACACACAAUACCAACAAUGACACCCAAGAUAUUGAGAACUAUCACUAUGAUAUGGGUACUACAUUUGAACCCCCAUUAUUCUUCUCUAAUGGUGUCGAAAAUUAUCAAGAUAUUAGUAAUGAUCAUCAAAACUAUCAUCUUGGUUGCUUUGUUGAAAAUAUAAUGAAUAUUGAUCAUGAGUACAAUGAUGAGAGUGGUGAUCAAAGUCAGUUUAUGUCAUCUGUUGUGUUUCAAAAUUUAUCAACUUCUGCUUAUCAUGGUGGUUCCAUUGAUCAAAAUAUAGUGAACAUUGAUGGAAACAAGAACAAUGUUGAUUUUAUGCAAAUGUUGCCUCUAAAAUCUACUAUGCUUACACACAAUACCAACAAUGGCAGUCAAGAUAUUGAGAAUUAUCACAAUGAUAUGGGUACUACAUUUGAAGCCCCAUUAUUCUUCUCUAAUGGCAUCGAGAGAUGUGCUACGUCUUUUUGUAUUGGUGAUCAAAAUUUUAGUUGGAUGAAUGAUAAGAUCACUACUUCAUAUAGUCAAAAUGAACAAUUUUCACCGUCCAUCUCCUCCAAUGACUUGGAUCACCAUAUUAAUACUUCUUUUGAAUGGGAGUUCAGAGAUGAGAAUCCUUCAUUUCUUCAAGAUAAUGCUACUGGAUUAGUUCCACUAUUUUCUCAUAGUGAUAAAAGCAUAGACAAGCAGAAUUUGUCUGAAUCAAAUUUUAAAGAUAAUAAUUUUUCAGUUACUGGAGCAACAACUGACAAUGACUUGUUUCUUGGUGACGACUAUGUUAAUUCUUCAACAAUGGAGGAUAACACUGAAUUUUUUUCAUUGUUGGAAUAUUUCUUUUCUAGUUGAUUGUAAGCUUUCUCUGUAUUUCCUUUGCAGUGUAAUAAAAUGUUCUUGUGGUCUCUCAACUUUUUCUUUGGCAUAUUGAUCAUAAUAUAAUUCUUAUCAUCCACUAAAUGAUGAAGUAAAUAUGUACGGAAUCAAUAUUUAUAGUCAUCAACUAUGAGAUUAAAAAAAAAAUUCAUACAAAUAUUUUAUACUAAACCAAUCAACUGCAAACUUAAAAAUCUCCCAAAUUAACUUGAAUUAAGAGUUUAUUUUAUUUUACAUUUUAAAUUAAAUAGAUCUUAUUAUUUGGGUUCUUAAUUAGUUUUAAGUUUUUAAUUAAUUAUUUUUUAAAAAAUAUUUUUUUAAAAAAUUUAUUUAUUAUAAUAUAAUUUCAUAAUAUAAGGAUAUCGGCAUUUUAUUUUUUUAAAAAAAGAAUAUCAGCAUUUAUAAUCACUAUCAUUUUUUAUUUCUUUUUUCAGUUGAGGAAACAAAAAAUAAAUAUUAGAAUAUAUUCAAAAAUUAUUAUUAAAUAUGUCAAACUAUAAAAAUAUUUUAUAAAUUAAAGUUUGAGUGAAAACUAAACCAAGCAAACGUAAGUAAACACUUUACUAAAUAUAUGAAUUAAGCCAAUCGAACAAGCGAUUAAUAUAUUUAAGCUUACCGGUACAGAUUUUAUCCCAUAAUCAUUUUAGGGAUGAUUUAAAUUAAAAAUAUAUUUUUAUAAUAAUAUAUAUUUAAUUAAUAUAUUAUUUAAAUUAGAUCGAUUUAGUUAGAAAUUUAAUUAGACAGAAAAUUUAAUUAAAUUUUAAUACUAUUCAAGUUCGAUGAGAUUUUAGAUUUUAAAAUUAUAAGAUUAUAUCAAAAUCGAAGUUUGUAAAAUUCGCUCAAGACUCCAUCUAUUGUUACCCUAAACCGUGUUCAUACCAUAUUAGAAUUGAACUUUGUGAUUCAGCCGGUUGUUUGAACUUAUGAUGGUAUAGAAUCACACGGGUCCACCACCUUUAACUCAUUGAAGAAAAGCUAGACACAACCUUCAAAAAAUUUGAAAAAAGUUUGGAUGUAUCUUCUUUUAAAAGAAAUCAUUUUACCCUGUAAGUCUUUGUUUCUUUCUAAAAAUCUAUCUGGGUGUUACCAUGAAAAUGAUGAAGGCUGUGAAGAAGCUCAAAUUCUGGUCAAGAUCCAGGAAGAAAAGGAAGUACCUUGAGGAGCCCUUCUACCCUGUUCUGGCGCACCAUUGUUGUUGCCGUUCAUGCUCCUCCGUCCAGCCCUCAGCUCCACCAUGGCCUGGUGAAUUCUCAUAUCAGAUUCAAGCUGAUGAAACAGAAAGUGUAGAAGAAAGUAAAUUAAUCCAUUCAAAAUUACCUCAAGUAGACGAAGUUAUAAUCACGAGUAGGUCAAUGUAUCAGCAAUAUAUGGUUGAAAAUCCUGUGUAUGACAUGCCUGAGCCUGUUGUUGAGAUAGUUAGAAGAGAAAGAUCAGGCGGGUACGUUCUUCAGCUGGGUUCUUGUCUGAUCCGCUGCUUCUGCCCAUGUUUCAGUACAGAAGAAGCUCAGUAAAAAAGUGAUUUUGUUAAAUUGUUAGCUUACUUCUUCCUCUAUUUUCUUCUUUUUUUUUUCUUUAAAUUCAGCAAUAGUAAAAAUAUGUUUCUGGAUAUUUUUUUUUGUAAAAAUGCAUUGUCAGUCUUAACUCUGUUGUAUCUAAUAUUUUAACGUAAUAUAAACUUUUAAUAAAAAUUCAUACCUAACUUUGGUUGCAUUCAUACCAAGCGCGGGCAAGAAAGAGCCCCAGCCAACUCCGCUCUGGACGCUAUGAGCUUCUCUAUGCAAUUCUUUAUCUCUUUCUGACUAUUUGUUCUCUGUGUAUUGCUCCUGCAAAAAAGCCAAGCAAAUAAGAGAAUCAAUGAACAAAAAAGUAGUCCUCAAAGAUGCUCAGAUUUAAAAAUACGUAAAGCCGGUGAUUCCGAGUUAUAACGACCUUGCUUCCAGGGGAAAACCAUUCUAGCAUUCCAAUAAUUUUAUCUAAUUCUUCCGAGUCAUCCAAAUCAUCAGGAACAACAAGACUCCUAUAAAGCAUAUAAUUCUUUUGAUCUUACUAAUCCCCUCAUCAACAUUGUUCAACUUGUAUUUUUAAAUCUUGAUAAAUGACCUUGGUGUGAUGUUAUCUGGUGCACAAACAUGUAGUAACUGAUUAAUAGACAAAUUAUCCGCUUAGUGAAUCAACUUUGAUGUAGCCAAUCAAACUAUAUGCCGGAAAUUUUCUGAUUUUAGACUCUGCCAUCACUUUCCUCCAAUUAGCAGCAUCUCCCCACCUUUCCCCAACAGCACUUCUAUUUGACAACACCACAUAUCGGCCACAAUGUUUUGGCUGUAAUUCAAGGACCUUCUUUCCUACCAUUUUCCAACUGAACGUCCCCAUGAAUCUUACAAGCACCAAAAAGAGCUCCUAAAACAGAGGCAUCAGGCAUGAAGGGCAUGCUAAGUGCAAACCCAACUGCAUCUCUCAGAAUUCCUGCUCUGUCCAAUAGAUCAACAACACAACCAUAAUGCUCCAUUAUUGGUACAACCCAAUAUCGACUUGACAUUGACGGAAACAACUUCAAACCCAAGUCAACAAGUUUAGCUCGAGCACAAGCAGUAAGAAUAGCAACAAAGGUAACCUCAUUGGGGCAAAAUCCUUGCGCUUUCAUCUUCUCAAACAUAUAUAGAGCUUGCUUCCCCCUACCAUUGCAGUCCAAGUGAAAACCUCUUUAACCUCUAUCCGAUUGAAUACUCUUAUUGCAGUCUCCAAACAACCUGCCUUUCCAUACAAAUCUACCAACGCAGCCCCCACGACAGCGCUCAAACAUAUCCAUGUAUCUGCUUCCCUUGAUAAAGACCAGUUCCAUCUAAAUUAGCACAAGAAGACAGCACGGUAACAAAUGCAGCCUCAUUAGGCUUCACGGAACCGCGGACCACAUCCUCGUGAACCACCAUCUUUGCCAAAAGUGGCAAUGCAUCAACAAAGCGUCCAUUCAUCACGAACCCAUUAAUGACACUCGUCCAUGAAACCACGUCCUUCUCAUUAAACACCACAAUACAUGGAUGGGGAAUUUCCACAAACAUCUUACGUGCAUUGAGUAUGUCACACACUUCGGCAACUCCACCCUCACGCAUGAAGUUUGCACAUAUGGGUCGCAUAAAACACCCCAUUUGAGAGCCUGAGCAUGGAGAAUUGAGCCAUAUGAGGGAAGCAAGAAGCAGCUUUGAUUAGAGAUGGGAAAGUGAGAUGGUUUGGUGAAAGUCCAUGCGCAAUCAUGCGGGUGAAAAGUAGUAAAGAAGUACGAGAGAGUCCCGUAGAGAGAUAAGAUCAAAUGAGAGUGUUGUAAAUGAGAACGGUGUUCCAUGAAGAAGUGUGGUUGAGGAGAGAGCCGCGGGUGAUAAGAAGGGAAUGAAUCUGUUUGAUCUGGUUGGGACAGUGGAUGAAAUGCUGGAGAAGAAGCUCUGGACUUGAAUAUCCAGAAAACCCACCUGUUACCAGAAGCUUUAAAAUCAAAACUUGAUUACAUGCCUGUUCUUGUCCACCAUCUGCCCAGUUCAUAUAUUAUUAGCAUUCUUGUUCAUAUUUGUUAAUUACAAGAUUUUUGGAUCAAAUUAACAUUUUCUCAUGCUUCUUUCAAUUCAUAUAUAUAUAUAUAUAAAUUUAAUUCCAACCAAAAAUGAAGAAAAUUCUUUUAGUUUACAACUAUUUUUCAAUCUUUCUAAGUUUUCUAACGAAAAACAAAUCCUACGUUGAGAAUUUUUAUUUAGUUUUUAACACUGUGUAUAUUCAUUAAAAUCGAGUCUAAAAGAAUUAUGAACUCAACUUGAAAAAAAACUUUAACAUUAACAAGAUCGAAAACAAAAUUAAUAUUUUAAGUUAUAAAACUUACACAUUAAAAACUAGAAAAUAACCAACCCUAACACCCAAAGAAAAGAAAACGAUAAAAGUAUCCAUGAAGGUUCGGCUCAUUGACAAUUACAAAUUACCAUCUUCAAUUCAUUGACAAUAAUCAUAAAUUACCCUUUUCAAAAAUUCUUAUAUUUCAUUUCGGUCCUUCUAUCUUCGUUUCUCCGCUAAUUUUCUGUAAGGAUUAAUUUGCAAUCGUUAUGCUUGCAACAUCAUUAUGAAAAUUUUUUGCCAUUGUGCAAUAUUUUUACAGUCAAUCGCUUCAGACUUUUCGAGUGUUUGACCUGAUCAUCUUUUAUGCAGAAAAAAUAUAGUAAUAACUCACUUAUUUGGAGUGAUGUUUGGAGAUUGCAAGCUUUAAAUAACAUUUUUAAUAAGAAUGAGAUUGUCAAAUCUUACUAAUUGAACAAAAGCUCAAAGUUCUACAUAAGGAAAAAGAGUUGACAGCCAAACUAUUACCAUAACUUUCGUAAAAUAUAUUUUUUGUGUAAAACUUUAAACUCUACAAAACUAAGGCAAAGUACAAGUUAAUCUAUUGUUGGUUCUGGGUGCUAAUAUAUGAAUGUUCCUGUAGAAGUCUAUCGGAAGUAAGUCGUGCAAGAGGUCAGAAGAAAGGGAAAACACGAUAUGGGAUUUUGUCUGUAGCAAGAUUCUGGUGGACAGAUUGGAGCUGCUAGCGGUAGCUGUUGUUUUCCUCACACGACUUUAUGCAUCAUGUUUAGGUGCAGAUGAUAUUUAGUAAAAAAUAUUUCAUCAGGAAAAAGUGAGACUUGCCUUAUAAAGAAUUUGGGUAUUGCAGUUUUACUGUUUUGUUUUGGCAAGGGAGUGCUUAGUGCUGGUUUAAGUUUUGAGUAAAGAUUAAAAAGUAGUCAGCUCCACCUUUUUUGCAUGAUAUUAAUCAAGGGCUAUAUGCUCUUCCAUCUCAAGUUAUUUUUCUUUUUUGUUCCUUUUAAUUUUUUCUAUGAAUGGGUUGGAUGAGAUGGUACGGUUGGCUUCUGUAUAUAAAUAAUAUAUACAUUUCAUCUCUUUUGAUUUCCAGUACAUGAAUAUUUGACUUGUGAGCAGCUUCUACUGAAAGAGGCUAUUGAAGCAGGUAGCUUUUUUGGUUUUACCUUAUUUCAAUUUAUUCUUCUAUUGAUCCGGAUACAUGUUUAAGUUGUUUUGUUUUUCUUUUCGAGAUUUUCUAUAAUUUUUUACGUGAUUACUCCUCACUGAGUAUCCUAUUAUGUCAUGGAUUGGAAUAUAAUAAGUGAUAAUUCUUCAUUACUGCUAUCAAUGGACAUUAAUUAGGUCAGUAGUAAGGAGAUAUAUAUACUAUUCUAUUUUUUUUAAUCCUGAGUUUGAUUUAUUAGGGGGAGUUUAGGAAUUAGAAUCCUAAAUACAUUAGGUCAAUGUAGAGGAGUGAGUAAGUUAGCAUUUUGAGAAAGAGAUAAUACAAAGUAUAAGAAAUUAGAAAAAACAGUAAAAUAUUUUUAAUUAAAUAUUAAUGCUAUUUAAUUUAUUAUUUUAAAUUUAAUUUUUAGGAAAAAUAAAUAAUAAUUUUUAAAUAUCUAUUUUGUUUUGGUUUAAUUUUAAAAAUAAUAUAUUUUUUUUCUAAAAAAUUCUGUAAUUGACCAAUCUCUUUUUUAAUUUAAAUUUGUAAGUUUAUGAUUAAUUUAUUAUUUUUAUGAUUUUUUUUUGUAUUUUUAAUUUGUUUGUUAUACAUUAUUAUUUUGCUUGCAAAUUAUAGUUAUAAUUAUAAUUAUAAUUAUAAUUAAAUUAAAUUAAAUUAAUUUAAUAGCCCAGUUUUUUCCAACCCAUAACCUACAAACGACAGCGUUUUGGAAGAGGUUAUUGGCGGCAAAAGGGGGGGUUUAAAGGGAAUUUAGAAAGGUUUAGGGGCAAAAUUGGAAAUACAGCUGUUUCCAACGGUCUUCUUCUCUCUAUAUAUAUUGCACCGACCACUCCAUUCUUCUCUCUCUACUCAGCUUUCAGACAGAUCACAUUCCUUCUUCCCUUUCCUCCCGAUUCUCUCUGUUCAUUGGAAACGUUUCGUUUCCUUCCGAUUUCUCUCAAAUUCAAUCGACUGCUUCGACUUUGCUUCUCCGCUCGCUUCUCUGGUAAGGAUCUCCACUGCCGCUUUCUUUUUUUUUUUUCCAUUAAAGAUUCAUAUUGCAAAUUUUCUUCUUUAAUUUUGUCAAACAACUCUUUAAUAUUUGUGGUUCUUUUAAUAUUUGUGAUUCUUUUACGAGAUAAAACAUAAAAUCAUGUACUCUGAGUCAGAUCUGGAAUCCACCGUAACACUCAUUUAGGGAAAAGUCACCAAAAUCUAAGAUCCGUGUAAUCCUUUUUCGGUAACAAACGACCAAUAAAAAAUAUUAAAAAAGAAACCCAGAAAAUCCUCUGUGAAAAUAAAAAAACGAAAAGAGAUCAAAACCCUAGAUCUUGAAAUAAGACUGAUUACUUCUCCCUGGUUUUUCUGUAAUUAGGUUGUGUGGAGUUUUGGAUUGGAGAAUCUUGAAAUGAAUCUGUAAAAUGCAAUCUUUGUAAUGUUAUUAAAGUUUGAGCUCACCAUUACAACGUAAUGGCCUCAAACCCCAUGGAGGAGUCCUAAUCAUAAUGUAUCUUUGUUUUUUAACUGGGUACAAAUUGCAAUGGUGGUGGUUCUGCUAUUUGGGGUUUGAGGACUAAUUAUAAUGUAUAUAAUUUUUAUUUAGUUUGAGGACAAACUACAAUUGUAUAAUGGAUUGUAUUAUUACAGGUUCUCUGCGUAUUAUUAUGUUUGUUAUUUCAAUUAUUCAGGAUUUAGAGUUAAAAUUCCAAUGUAUAUCAAUUUUUAUUGGAUGAGAAGCCUAUUAGGUUCUAUUAUUAUUAUUAUAUAUUUUUUCAAUUAGUUGUACUCAAAUUAUGGGUUUUGGAUCUUGUGGUUGUAUUCCAUAUUACAAUAUGUACGUAAUAUUUGUAGGCGUCAAGUCUGUUUAUUUAUCUUCUAAUAUUGUUAUUAAGUUUUGUUAUACUUUUUACAGGUUGUAUAUAAUAUUUAUAAGUUUUGAGCCUAUAGGAUUGUAUUUUUAUUAUUUUCGUCAUGAUAUUACCCACAUUAUUGUAUUUGAAUAAUGGAUUUCGGAUCAUUUGGUUGUAUUCCGUAUUACAAUAUAUAUGUAAUAUUCAUAGGUAUCAAGCCUAUUGAAUUGUUUUAAUAUUGUUAGGAAGUUUUGUUAUAUUUUUUACGGGUUGUAUGUAAUAGUUAUAAAGUUCGAGCCUAUUGCGUUGUAAUAUUAUUAUUAUCAUGAUGAUAUGACACACAAUAUUGAUUUUGAAUUAUGGGUUUCAAAUAUUUUAGUUUCAUUCAACAAUAUAAUGAAUGUAACGAAGCCCAUUGACUUGUAUUUUUUGUCUAUAUAAUUAAACUAUAUUCUUAUUAUUAUGAAGUUUAUUAACUUUUAUGGGUUUUAUAAGUUGCUAAACUCAGUUGUAUUAUUAUUAUUAUUAACGAGCACAAAUUAUAAUUUGAUUUUAACUAAGUUGAAGUGUAUGUUAUUUGUAUUGACAUGGAGCCGAAUGGGAUUGUAAUAAUAUUUUUGCGAUGAAUUUUAUUAUUGCUAUUAUUUAUGAUAUAUUAUGGAGAGUUGAACCGAAUUGUAAUGCAUAUUAUAUUUUUUUGAUGUGUUUGUAAAAUUUAAUUGCAUCUAAAAUUGUAUUGACCGACAACAAGGUUUAAUCUUCAAAUUUUAACAAGCAAAUAAGAUUAAAUUAAAAUAUUAUAAUAUUAAAAAUGUUAUACUAAGACAUUAUCAAUUUACUUCUUCAAUUUGAUGGUAAAUAAGACUUAAAUUGAAAUAAAAAAUAAACUGAAUUUUGUUGGCGAACUUAAUUUCUUAGUUUGUAAAUAAGAAUGUUAAUUAUUUGACAUACAAGUAUAUUUAUACAGUAUAUUGUGCUAUAUCCAGUAAUUAUAAUGUAUAAUAUUUGUGUAAAACAAUUAUAGUGUAUUGGUUUGCUAGAAAAUAGUAAUAUAAUGAAUUGUAUUCUAAAUUACAAUAAGUAUUUUUUUAGUGAGAUGAAAGUUGACGUAUUGUAAUAUUUUUAUCAGAAAGUUUCACCUACAAUUCGAUCAGAAAAAAUGAGUGCAACUACUUGCAGUUCAGUGAAAAAAAGAAAAAUUCCAACGCAAAAACGUGAAACAAAAAAGCAGAGAGUUGUUACAUUCAGUAAAAGAGGAACGGGUCUGUUUAACAAAGCAGCAGAAUUGUGUGUUCUCUGCAAUGCUCAGGUUGUAAUUUUGGUUUCUGCUCCUUUGGCCAAAGAAAAGUUUUAUACUUUUGCACACCCUAACAUCAAUCUUCUUCUCGACACAUUCCUCAAUAACCAUGUCUCUCAUCCCAUCAACAAUUACAAUAAUCUUUCUACUUCUUCGUCUCAUCAAAAUAUGGAGCAAUUAACUCCUAACAAUAAUGUGUCCAAGACCAAGAAGAGAAAGAGAGAGUCUGAAGAGUUUUGGGGGGAAAAUGAAGACUUUGAUGUUUACCAAACACCUGAAGAGGUGACAUCAAUCAUCGAGAAGUUAGAAAAUGUGAGAGAAAAUGUGGCGCUCAAACUUCAAAAAUUAUCAACUUCUAAUAAUCAAGAUAUUAACAGUAGCGAUCAUCAAAACUAUCAUCUUGGGUGCUUUGCUGAAGAUAUAAUGAACAUUAAUAAUGAGUACAGUAAAGAGAGUGGUGAUCAAAGUCAGUUUAUGACAUCCGUUGUGUUUCAGAAUUUAUCAACUUCUACUUAUCAUGGUAGUUGCAUUGAUCAAAAUAUAGUGGACAUUGAUGGAUUCAAGAACAAUGUUGAUUUUAUGCAAAUGUUGCCUCUAAAAUCUACUAUGCUUACACACAAUACCAACAAUGACAGCCAAGAUAUUGAGAAUUAUCACAAUGAUAUGGGUACUACAUUUGAAGCCCCAUUAUUCUUCUCUAAUGGCGUCGAAAAUUAUCAAGAUAUUGGUAGUGGUGAUCAUCAAAACUAUCAUCUUGGGUGCUUUGCUGAAAAUAUAAUGAAUAUUAGUCAUGAGUACAAUAAUGAAAGUGGCGAUCAGAGUCAGUUUAUGUCAUCUGUUGUGUUUCAAAAUUUAUCAACUUCUACUUAUCAAGAUGGUUGCAUUGAUCAAAAUAUGGUGAACGUUGAUGGAAACAAGAACAAUGUUGCUUUUAUGCAGAUGUUGCCUCUAAACUCUAUUAUGUUUACACACAAUACCAACAAUGGCACCCAAGAUAUUGAGAACUAUCACUGUGAUAUGGGUACUACAUUUGAACCCCCAUUAUUUUUCUCUAAUGGCAUCGAGAGAUGUGCUACGUCUUUUUGUAUUGGUGAUCAAAAUUUUAGUUGGAUGAAUGAUAAGAUCACUACUUCAUACAGUCAAAAUGAACAAUUUUCACCAUCCUUCUCCUCCGAUGACUUGGAUCACCAUAUCAAUACUUCUUUUGAGUGGGAAUUCAGAUAUGAGAAUCCUUCAUUUCUUCAAGAUAAUGCUACUGGAUUAGUUCCACUAUUUUCUCAUAGUGAUAAAGGCAUAGACAAGCAGAAUUUGUCUGAAUCAAAUUUUAAAGAUAAUAGUUUUUCAGUUACUGGAGCAACAACUGACAAUGACUUGCUUCUUGGUGACGACUAUGUUAAUUCUUCAACAAUGGAGGAUAACACUGAAUUUUUUUCAUUGUUGGAAUCUUUCUUUUCUAGUUGAUUGUAAGCUUUCUCUGUAUUUCCUUUGCAGUGUAAUAAAAUGUUCUUGUGAUCUCUCAAUUUUUUCUUUGGCAUAUUGAUCAUAGUUUAAUUCUUAUCAUCCCCUAAAUGAUGAAGUAAAUGUGUACGGAAUCAAUAUUUAUAGUCAUCAACUAUGAGAUUAAAAAAGAAAAAUUCAUACAAAUAUUUUAUACUCGACCAAUCAACCCCAAACUUAAAAAUCUCCCAAAUUAACUAGAAUUAAGAGUUAAUUUUAUUUUAUAUUUUAAAUUAAAUAGCUCUUACUUAUUAUUUGGGUUCUUAAUUAGUUUUAAAUUUUUAAUUAAUUAUUUUUUAAAAAAUAUUUAGAACAAAAUUUUAUUUAUUAUAAUAUAAUUUCAUAAUAUAAGGAUAUCGGCAUUUUAUUUUUCUAAAAAAAGAUAUCAACAUUUAUAAUUACUAUCAUUUUUUAUUUCUUUUUUCAGUUGAAAAAACAAAAAAUAAAUAUUAGAAUAUAUUCAAAAAUUUAUGUCAAACUAUAAAAAUAUUUUAUAAAUUAAAGUUUGGGUGAAAACUAAACCAAACAAACGUAAAUAAACACUUUACUAAAUAUAUGAAUUAAGCCAAUCGAACAAGCGAUUAAUAUAUUUAAACUUACCGGUAAAGAUUUUAUCCCAUAAUCAUUUUAGGGAUGAUUUAAAUUAAAAAUAUAGUUUUAUAGUAAUAUAUAUUUAAUUUAAAUAACAUAUUUAUAUAUAAUAUAUUAUUUAAAUUAUGUAGAUUUAAUCAGAAAUUUAAUUAGAUACAAAAUUUAAUUAAAUUUUAAUACUACUCAAGUUUAAUGAACUUUUAGAUUUUAAAAUUAUAAGAUUAUAUCGAAAUCGAAGUUUAUAAAAUUCGCUCAAGAUUCCAUCUAUUGUUACCCUAAACCGUGUUCAUACCAUAUUAGAAUUGAACUUUGUGAUUCAGCCGGUUGUUUGAACUUAUGAUGGUAUAGAAUCACACGGGUCCACCACCUUUAACUCAUUGAAGAAAAGCUAGACACAACGGUCAAAAAAUUUGAAAAAAGUUUGGAUGUAUCUUCUUUUAAAAGAAAUCAUUUUACCCUAUAAGUCUUUGUUUCUUUCUAAAAAUCUAUCUGGGUGUUACCAUGAAAAUGAUGAAGGCUGUGAAAAAGCUCAAAUUCUGGUCAAGAUCCAGGAAGAAAAGGAAGUACCUUGAGGAGCCCUACUACCCUGUUCUGGCGCACCAUUGCUGUUGCUGUUCAUGCUCCUCCGUCCAGCCCUCAGCUCCUCCAUUGCCACCAUGGCCUGAUGAAUUCUCAUAUCAGAUUCAAGCUGAUAAAACAGAAGGUGUAGAAGAAAGUAAAUUAAUCCAUUCAAAAUUACCUCAAGUAGACGAAGGUAUAAUCACAAGUAGGUCAAUGUAUCAGCAAUAUAUGGUUGAAAAUCAUGUGUAUGACAUGCCUGAGCCUGUUGUUGAGAUAGUUAGAAAAGAAAGAUCAGGCGGGUACGUUGUUCUUCAGCUGGGUUCUCGUCUGAUCCGCUGCUUCUGCCCAUGUUUCAGUAUAGAAGAAGCUAGGUAAAAAAGUGAUCUUCUUAAUUUGUUAGCAUACUUCUUCCUCCUAUUUUUUUUUUUUUAAAUUAAGCAAAGGUAAAAAUAUGUUCUGUACCUUUUUUUUGUGAAAAAGAAUUUUCAAUCUUAACUUUAUUGUACCUAAUAUUUUAAUGUAAUAUAAAGUUUUAAUAAAAAUUCAUACCUAACUUUGGUUGCAUUCACACCAAGCGCGGGCAAGAAAGAGCCUCAGCCAACUCCACUGUGGACGCUAUGAGCUUCUCUAUGCAAUUCUUUCUCUCUUUCUGACUAUUUGUUCUCUGUGUAUUUGCUCUUGCAAAAAAGCCAAGCAAAUAUGAGAAUCAAUGAACAAAAAAUUAGUCCUCAAAGAUGCUCAGAUUUAAAAAUACGUAAAGCUGGUGAUUCCUAAUUAUAAUGAUUUUGCUUCCAGGGGAAAACCAUUCUAGCAUUCCAAUUAUUUUAUCUAAAUGUCCCGAGUCAUCCACAUCAUCGGGAACAACAAGAACUCCUAUAAAGCAUAUAAUUCUUUUUUAUCUUACUAAUCCCCUCAUCAACAUUGUUGAACUUGUAUUUCUAAAUCUUGAUAAAUCCAAAAGAAGUUGUUCUUGUAAGUGAAGCAAACCGUGGAAAUUGUGCAGCAGUUGCUCUGACGUCUGCAAGAAAUCUUCUGUCUCUGAAUUUUUAAAUGUUCAUGUUAUAAACAGUCUUAGCAAAUAUCGUCUUCCCUGUCCCUGCAAUCCCACUUGCUAUGUCAACUCCAUUUGAUCCAUCUUGAGUUCAGGCUUGAUUUCUUCUCCAAGAUCAUCUCUUCCAACUAACUAUUGGGUGACAUCGAACAGUGCCUCAUGCCUGCCUAGAGAAAAAAAAAACGAAAGUUAUGAUUGUUUCCCAACUGCUGAAAUUUAGUAAAAAUCUCAACAAGCAGAGAACGUAGAGUUUUGAAAAUAACAGUUACACUAACCAAGUAAAUAUAAUUUAUUAUAUGCACAGUUAUCCAUGUAAAUUGAUAAUUUAAAUUUGAGAAGUGUGUUAUGGAGCACAUAUAAAAAUAAAAAUCCAUAAAACACAGGAAACUUAUAUAUUUCACAAUGCUUUCGACAAAAUUAUGGCCGUGUCUCUAAACCCUCUGCUCUAGAAUUAACACAAAGAAAAUGCAUGGUAAUAGUUUGUAGUUUAUUGAGAAGAAAGCUGAGAUCAAGCUUACAUAUGUCACAAAAAUCAUUCCUCCCAAGUCAGCAACCUCCCUCGCAGCACCUCAGCUGUUGUAUUUUGUUCUUUACAUCUUUUAGGUGCUCUUCAUGUGCGGCAAUUGUUUCAGAAAAACUCCCUCGCAGUAUACUUCCUAACAUGUGUUGGAUCUACUUCAUAGAACACUGGCAAGAUAUCUGUUCAGUGGUUCUCCUGUGUUACAUGAUCUUACCUAGUUCAUCAGGAAACCACAGAGAAGAGUCACAAUUUUAGGAGAAGAUAAUUAUUUAUAUUGAGACUCCAAUGGCUUUUUCAAGUUAUUUUAUUCAUAUCCUUUCCUCUUUCAACCCCAUCAUCAUAUUUAGAUGUACGAAUUCCUGCCCGCAGUAGGGCCCUAUAAAGGUGAUCCGUGAAGCUCCAGCACCUCGUAAACUUAAGAACAUAUACUAAGCAUAUCCAGAACAUGAGGAGGAAGCUCGCUGCUCUGCACUCGCUGCAUCCAUUGAUAACCAAAAAUUUCAGGAGUAUCGAUUGAAAGCAGAUGGGUGAUGAAUAGAUAAUAAAGCACCAAGGAUCGACAUAAAUUUGUUGGCUCAAGCAAAUCAAUUAUGAUAUUUUUUUGGAGGAAAUUUCCACUUUAACAAUCAUGAUAAGCCAGUGAGCUAAAUCACAUCUUACCAUUUGCCUUUAACAAAAUUUCCGUCUUCUUUAAUUACUCCAACAAUGCAUUUUAGCUUUUACAAGGUAUUAAUUAAUAACUACAUGUGAUAAAUACAGAGGACUUUUAGGUAUUCUUGAUUAGAUCCUAGAAUUGAUCGGAUCCUAGAGUUCUCUUCUAGGACCAAUUAUCAUUUAAGUACCAUAACUUCAUACUACAUUAAAAAUUAUCCAUAAGAUUUUGAGUUCCAUUCAAUUAGAUACUCUAAUCUUUAAUUAGUCUCCCAAUACAUCUAUCACCAUACAAAUACCUGAAGAAAAUCUCAUCCCUAACAGUCUAACCAUGUAAAUGCUUCCUUUUAUAAAUGCCACCUUAAUUUAAGUUAACAUAAUAAUUAGAAAGGGCUUUGCAAACCCUCCAGCUUCAUCCUCAUGCAUCAUCAUCUAUGAAAAAACCUAAUUGCCUUACUAAAAGCAAUUCACAAACUAAUUAAUAAUACUUAAUCCAUUAACACAUCCUUCCUAGGAAAACUUUCUGAAUAAAAAUAGCAAAUUCAUGUCUCAAGAAUCGAUUCCACAUAUAAAAUAAUUCUAAAAACGUUUUACGUGUUUUAUCUAUCACUCACAUAUAAAAUUUGCUUCAUAUUCACAUAAACAACUCAGUAGUCAACCAAAUCUAUCAAUUGUCACUUAUAGAAAUUAUGACCUAAAAAUCCCUUCUAGUAUCUGUAUUCCCAUAUACUAGGUUAAUCUUACAACUAGAGGAAAAAAGAUAAAUCACAUCAGAAUCCCGGAUGUAGAAACCUUACUCAAAUUCGGUCAAUAGGUAAAUGUCCUUUGUGUGAUGUUAUCUGGUGCACAAACAUGUAUGAACUGAUUAAUAGACAAAUUAUCCGCUUAGUGAAUCAACUUUGACCGAGCCAAUCAAACUACAUGCUGGAAUUUUUCGGAUUUUAGACUCUGCCAUCACUUUCCUCCAAUUAGCAGCAUCUCCCCACCUUUCCCCAACGGCACUUACAUCUGACAACACGAAAUAUCGGCCACAAUGUUUUGGCUGUAAUUCCCAACUGAGCUUCUUUCCUACUUCAUUUCCCAACUGAACGUCCCCAUGAAUCUUACAAGCACCAGAAAGAGCUCCCAAAACAGAGGCAUCAGGCAUGAAGGGCAUGCUAAGUGCAAACCCAACUGCAUCUCUCAGAAUUCCUGCUCUGCCCAAUAGAUCAACAACACAGCCAUAAUGCUCCAUUAUUGGUACAAUCCCAUAUCGACUUGACACUGACGGAAACAACUUCAAACCCAAGUCAACAGGUUUUGCUCGAGCACAAGAUGUAAGAAUAGCAACAAAGGUAACCUCAUUGGAGCAAAAUCCUUGCACUUUCAUCUUCUCAAACAUACAUAGAGCUUGCUUCGCCCUGCCAUGACAGGCAAGUGAAGAAAUCAUUGGAUUCCAAGUGAAAACCUCUUUAACCUCUAUCCGAUUGACUACUCUUUUUGCAGUCUCCAAACAACCUGCCUUUCCAGACAAAUCUACCAACGCAGCCCCCACGACAGCGCUCAAACUGAACCCAUUCUUAACAACAUAUCCAUGUAUCUGCUUCCCUUGAUAAAGACCAGUUCCAUCUAAAUUAGCACAAGAAGACAGCACAGUAACAAAUGUAGCCUCAUUAGGCUUCACGGAACCGCGGACCACAUCCUCGUGAUCCAUCAUCUUUGCAAAAAUCCGCAAUGCAUCAAGUCCAUUCAUCACGAACCCAUUAAUAACACUCGCCCAUGAAACCACAUCCUUCUCGGGCAUGCUCUGGAAAUACAGAAAAGCAGAACCCAUGUCUCCAUUCCUCCCAAAAGCGUCAAGUAAAGCAUUACACGCUACAAUACAUGGAUGAGGAAUUUCCACAAACAUCUCACGUGCAUUGCGUAUGUCACACACUUCGUCGUCACACAUUCACGGAUGAAGUUUGCACAAAUGGGUCGCAUAAAACACCCCAUUUGAGAGCAUGAGCAUGGAGAAUUGGACCAGAUGAGGGAGAGCAAGAAGCAGCUUUGAUUAGAGAUGGGAAAGUGAGAUGGUUUGGUGAAAGUCCCUGUGAAAUCAUGCGGGUGAAAAGUAGUAAAGAAGUACGAGAGAGUCCCGUAGAGAGAUAAGAUCAAAUGAGAGUGUUGUAAAUGAGAACGGUGUUCCAUGAAGAAGUGUGGUUGAGGAGAGAGCCGCGGGUGAUAAGAAGGGAAUGAAUCUGUUUGAUCUGGUUGGGACAGUGGAUGAAAUGCUGGAGAAGAAGCUCUGGACUUGAAUAUCCAGAAAACCCACCUGUUACCAGAAGCUUUAAAAUCAAAACUUGAUUACAUGCCUGUUCUUGUCCACCAUCUGCCCAGUUCAUAUAUUAUUAGCAUUCUUGUUCAUAUUUGUUAAUUACAAGAUUUUUGGAUCAAAUUAACAUUUUCUCAUGCUUCUUUCAAUUCAUAUAUAUAUAUAUAUAUAUAUAAAUUUAAUUCCAACCAAAAAUGAAGAAAAUUCUUUUAGUUUACUAUUUAUUUUGUGUGUUUUAAAAUAAUAAUAAUUAUUAAAUUUUAUUAAACUUAACGAGAAAAAUAUAUUUAUUUUAUUUAAUCUAUUCAAUCAUAUUAUUAAUAAAUUAAAAAAAGUUCGAUUACAACUAUUUUUCAAUCUUUCUAAUUUUUUUAAUGAAAAACAAAUCCUACUUAGAGAAUUUUUAUUAAGUUUUUAACACUUUGUAUAUUAAUUAAAAUCGAGUCUAAAAGAAUUAUGAACUCAACUUGAAAAAAAACUUUAACAUUCACAAGAUCGAGAACAAAAUUAAUAUUUUAAGUUAUAAAACUUACACAUUAAAAACUAGAAAAUAACCAACCCUAAUACCCAAAGAAAAGAAAGCGAUAAAAGUAUCCAUGAAGGUUCGGCUCAUUGAAAAUCACAAAUUACCAUCUUCAAUUCAUUGACAAUAAUCAUAAAUUACCCUCUUCGAAAAUUCUUAUAUUUCAUUUCGGUCCUUCUAUCUUCGUUUCUCCGCUAAUUUUUCAUAAUGAUUAAUUUGCAAUCGUUAUGCUUGCAACAUCAUUGUGAAAAUUGUCUACCACUGUGCAAUAUGCUUGCAGUCAAUUGCUUCAGACUUUUGGAGUAUUUGACUCGAUCAUCUUAUAUGCAUAAAUAAUAUAGUAAUACCCCACUCAUUUAGAGUGUUAUCUUGAGGUUGUAGGUUUUAGAGAGACUUUUUAAAAAGCAUGAGAUUGUCAAAUCUUACUAAUUGAACACUAGCUCAGAGUUCUACAACAAAGAAAAAAAAAAAAUUGACAGCCAAACUAUUACCAUAACCUUCGUAAAAUACAUUUUUGUGUAAAACUUUGAGCUUCACAAGACUAGGGCAAAGAACAAGUUCAUCUAUUGUUAGUUCCGGGCUAUAAUAUAUGAAUGUUCAUGCAUAAGCCUAUGGGAAGUAAGUCAUGCAAGAGGUCAGAAUAAAGGAAACACACGAUAUGGAGUUUUGUCUGUAGUAGGAUUUUGGUGGACAGAUUGGAACUGCUAGGAGUAGCUGCUGUAUUCCUCACACGACUUUAUGUAUCUUGUUUAGGUGGAGUAUGGUAUUUAGUGAAAAAUAUUUCAUCAGGAAAGAAUGAGACUUGCCUUAUAAAGACUUUGGGUAUUGCAGUUUUACUGUUUUGUUUCGGCAAUGGAGUGCUUAGUGCUGGUUCAAGUUUUGGGUAAAGACUGAAAACUAGUCAGCUCCACCUUCCUUGCAUGAUAUUAAUCAAGGGCUAUAUGCUCUUCCAUCUCAAGUUGUUUUUCUUUUUUGUUCCUUUUAUUUUUUCUACGAAUGAGCUGGAUGAAAUAGUACGGUUGGCUUCUAUAUAUAAAUAAUAUAUACCUUUAAUCUCUUUUGAUUUUCGGUACAUGAAUAUAUGACUUGUGAACAGCUUCUCCUGAAGGAAAUUAUUGAAGCAGGUAGUCUCUUUUAUUUUAUCUUAUUUCAACUUAUUCUUCUAUUGAUCCGAAUACAUAUUUAAGUUAUUUUGUUUUUCUUUUCGAGAUUUUCUAUAGUUUUUUAUGUGAUUAUUCCUUACUGAGUAUCCUAUUAUGGUAUAGAUUGGAAUAUAAUAAGUAAUAAUUUUUCAUUACUGCUAUCAAUGAACAUUAAUUAGAUAAGUUGUAAGGGAAUAUAUAUACUAUUCUAUUUUUUCUAUUCUGAGUUUGAUUUAUUAAGGGGAGUUUAGGAAUCAGAAUCUUAAAUUCAUUAGAUCAAUGUGGAAGAGUCAUUAAGUUAACAUUUUGAGACAAUAAAAUAUUUUUAUUAAAUAUUAGUGCAAUUUAAUUUGUUGUUUUAAAUUUAAUUUAUUAGUAUUAUUUGUGAUAUUGUUUCAAAAUUAUUUUUAAAAAAAUCAUGUCUUCAUAUAAUAUUUAACCUUCACCUUGAAAAAAUUAAAAUAAUGAUAUAUUUAAUUAACUAAUUUGAUAAUAUACAUUCAAUUUAAUAUUUAUUCGUAUAGUCGUAUAAUUUAAUAAAUUAUUAAAUAUAAAGAUAAAGAUAUAAGAUAUUUAUUAUUAAGUAUACUUUUAUAAUAGCUUUAGUUUCAAAGUUUGAUUUAAUAGUUAAAUUUAAUUUUUAGGAAAAAUAAAUAAUAAUUUUUAAGUAUAUAUUUUAUGAUUUUUUUGGUAUUUUUAAUUUGUUUGUUAUACAUUAUUAUUUUGCUUGCAAAUUAUAGUUAUAAUUAUAAUUAUAAUUAAAUUAAUUUAAUAGCCCAGUUUUUUCCAACCCAUAACCUACAAACGACAGCGUUUUGGAAGAGGUUAUUGGCGGGAAGGGGGAGGGUUUAAAGGGAAUUUAGAAAGGUUUAGGGGCAAAAUUGGAAAUACAGCUGUUCCCAACGGUCUUCUUCUCUCUAUAUAUAUUGCACCGACCACUCCAUUCUUCUCUACUCAGCUUUCAGACAGAUCACAUUCCUUCUUCCCUUUCCUCCCGAUUCUCUCUGUUCAUUGGAAGCGUUUCGUUUCCUUCCGAUUUCUCUCAAAUUCAAUCGACUGCUUCGACUUUGCUUCUCCGCUCGCUUCUCUGGUAAGGAUCUCCACUGCCGCUUUUUUUUUUUUUUUUCCAUUAAAGAUUCAUAUUGCAAAUUUUCUUCUUUAAUUUUGUCAAACAACUCUUUAAUAUUUGUGGUUCUUUUAAUAUUUGUGAUUCUUUUACGAGAUAAAACAUAAAAUCAUGUACUCUGAGUCAGAUCUGGAAUCCACCGUAACACUCAUUUAGGGAAAAGUCACCAAAAUCUAAGAUCCGUGUAAUCCUUUUUCGGUAACAAACGACCAAUAAAAAAUAUUAAAAAAGAAACCCAGAAAAUCCUCUGUGAAAAUAAAAAAACGAAAAGAGAUCAAAACCCUAGAUCUUGAAAUAAGACUGAUUACUUCUCCCUGGUUUUUCUGUAAUUAGGUUGUGUGGAGUUUUGGAUUGGAGAAUCUUGAAAUGAAUCUGUAAAAUGCAAUCUUUGUAAUGUUAUUAAGGUUUGAGCUCACCAUUACAACGUAAUGGCCUCAAACCCCAUGGAGGAGUCCUAAUCAUAAUGUAUCUUUGUUUUUUAACUGGGUACAAAUUGCAAUGGUGGUGGUUCUGCUAUUUGGGGUUUGAGGACUAAUUAUAAUGUAUAUAAUUUUCAUUUAGUUUGAGGACAAACUACAAUUGUAUAAUGGAUUGUAUUAUUACGGGUUCUCUGCAUAUUAUUAUGUUUGUUAUUUCAAUUAUUCGGGGCUUAUAGUGAAAUCCAAUGUAUAUUAUUUUUAUUGGAUGAGAAGCCUAUUGGGUUCUAUUAUUAUUAUAUAUAUUAUAUAUUAGUUGUACUCAAAUUAUGGGUUUUGGAUCUUGUGGUUGUAUUCCAUAUUACAAUCUGUAUGUAAUAUUUGUAGGCGUCAAGUCUGUUUAUUUAUCUUCUAAUAUUGUUAUUAAGUUUUGUUAUACUUUUUACAGGUUGUAUAUAAUAUUUAUAAGUUUUGAGCCUAUAGGAUUGUAUUUUUAUUAUUUUCGUCAUGAUAUUACCCACAUUAUUGUAUUUGAAUAAUGGAUUUCGGAUCAUUUGGUUGUAUUCCGUAUUACAAUAUAUAUGUAAUAUUCAUAGGUAUCAAGCCUAUUGAAUUGUUUUAAUAUUGUUACGAAAUUUUGUUAUAUUUUUUACUGGUUGUAUGUAAUAGUUAUAAAGUUCGAGUUUAUUGCGUUGUAAUAUUAUUAUUAUCAUGAUGAUACGACACACAAUAUUGUAUUUGAAUUAUGAGUUUCGGAUCAUUUGGUUGUAUUCCAUAUUACAAUAUGUAUGUAAUAUUCAUAGACAUCAAGCCUAUUGAAUUGUUUUAAUAUUGUUAUGAAAUUUUGUUAUAUUUUUUACGGAUCGUAUAUAAUAUUUAUAAGCUUUGAGCCUAUUGGGUUGUAUUAUUAUUAUUAUCAUCCUAAUAUUACAUACAUUAGUGUAUUUGAAUUAUAGAUUUCGGAUCAUUUGGUUGUAUUCAAUAUUACAAUAUAUAUGUAAUAUUCAUAGGUAUCAAGCCUAUUGAAUUAUUUUAAUAUUGUUACGAAGUUUUGUUAUAUUUUUUACGGAUUGUAUGUAAUAGUUAUAAGUUUCGAGCCUAUUUCGUUGUAAUAUUAUUAUUAUCACGAUGAUAUGACACAAUAUUGUAUUUGAAUUAUGAGUUUCGGAUCAUUUGGUUGUAUUCCAUAUUACAAUAUGUAUGUAAUAUUCAUAGGUAUAAAGCCUAUUGAAUUGUUUUAAUAUUGUUACGAAAUUUUGUUAUAUUUUUUACGGGUUGUAUGUAAUAGUUAUAAGUUUCGAGCCUAUUUCGUUGUAAUAUUAUUAUUAUUAUUAUGAUAUGACACACAAUAUUGUUUUUGAAUUAUGGGUUUCAAAUUUUUUAGUUUCAUUCAACAAUAUAAUGAAUGUAACGAAGCUCAUUGACUUGUAUUUUUUUUCUUAGAUAAUUAAACUAUAUUCUUAUUAUUACGAAGUUUAUUAACUUUUAUGGGUUUUAUAAGUUGCUAAACUCAAUUGUAUUAUUGUUAUUAUUAAUUUUUUUUUUAAAGUUGUGGGCCGAACUCAAAUUAUAAUUUGAUUUUAACCAAGUUUUAAGUGUAUGUUAUUUGUAUUGACAUGGAGCCAAAUGGGAUUGUAAUAAUAUUUUUGCGAUGAAUUUCAUUAUUGCUAUUAUUUAUGAUAUCUUAUGGAGGGUUGAACCGAAUUGUAAUGCAUAUUAUAUUUUUUUGAUGUGUUUGUAAAAUUUAAUUGCAUCUAAAAUUGUAUUGACCGACAACAAAGUUUAAUCUUCAAAUUUUAACAAGCAAAUAAGAUUAAAUUAAAACAUUAUAAUAUUAAAAAUGUUAUACUAAGACAUUAUCAAUUUACUUCUUCAAUUUGAUGGUAAAUAAGACUUAAAUUGAAAUAAAAAAUAAACUGAAUCUUGUUGGUGAACAUAAUUUCUUAGUUUGUAAAUAAGAAUGUUAAUUAUUUGACAUACAAGUAUAUUUAUACAGUAUAUUGUGCUAUAUCCGGUAAUUAUAAUGUAUAAUAUUUGUGUAAAACAAUUAUCGUGUAUUGGUUUGCUAGAAAAUAGUAAUAUAAUGAAUUGUAUUCUCAAUUUCAAUGAGUAUUUUUUUAGUGAGAUGAAAGUUGACGUAUUGUAAUAUUUUUAUCAGAAAGUUUCACCUACAAUUCGAUCAGAAAAAAUGAGUGCAACUACUUGCAGUUCAGUGAAAAAAAGAAAAAUUCCAAUGCAAAAACGUGAAACAAAAGAGCAGAGAGCUGUUACAUUCAGUAAAAGACGAACGGGUCUGUUUAACAAAGCAGCAGAAUUGUGUGUUCUCUGCAAUGCUCAGGUUGUAAUUUUGGUUUCUGCUCCUUUGGCCAAAGAAAAGUUUUAUACUUUUGCACACCCUAACAUCAAUCUUCUUCUCGACACAUUCCUCAAUAACCAUGUCUCUCAUCCCAUCAACAAUUACAAUAAUCUUUCUACUUCUUCCUCUUAUCAAAAUAUGGAGCAAUUAACUCCUAACAAUAAUGUGUCCAAGACCAAGAAGAGAAAGAGAGAGUCGGAAGAGUUUUGGUGGGAAAAUGAAGACUUUGAUGUUUACCAAACACCUGAAGAGGUGACAUCAAUCAUCGAGAAGUUAGAAAAGGUGAGAGAAAAUGUGGCGCUCAAACUUCAAAAAUUAUCAACUUCUAAUAAUCAAGAUGUUAGUAGUAGUCAUCAUCAAAACUAUCAUCUUCGGUGCUUUGCUGAAGAUAUGAUGAACAUUAAUAAUGAGUACAGUAAAGAGAGUGGUGAUCAAAGUCAGUUUAUGACAUCCGUUGUGUUUCAGAAUUUAUCAACUUCUACUUAUCAUGGUAGUUGCAUUGAUCAAAAUAUAGUGGACAUUGAUGGAUUCAAGAACAAUGUUGAUUUUAUGCAAAUGUUGCCUCUAAAAUCUACUAUGCUUACACACAAUACCAACAAUGGCAGCCAAGAUAUUCAGAAUUAUCACAAUGAUAUGGGUACUACAUUUGAAGCCCCAUUAUUCUUCCCUAAUGGCGUCGAAAAUUAUCAAGAUAUUAGUAGUGGUGAUCAUCAAAACUAUCAUCUUGGGUGCUUUGCUGAAAAUAUAAUGAAUAUUAAUCAUGAGUACAAUAAUGAAAGUGGCGAUCAGAGUCAGUUUAUGCCAUCUGUUGUGUUUCAAAAUUUAUCAACUUCUACUUAUCAAGAUGGUUGCAUUGAUCAAAAUAUGGUGAACGUUGAUGGAAACAAGAACAAUGUUGCUUUUAUGCAGAUGUUGCCUCUAAACUCUACUAUGUUUACAGACAAUACCAACAAUGGCACCCAAGAUAUUGAGAACUAUCACUAUGAUAUGGGUACUACAUUUGAACCCCCAUUAUUUUUCUCUAAUGGCAUCGAGAGAUGUGCUACGUCUCUUUGUAUUGGUGAUCAAAAUUUUAGUUGGAUGAAUGAUAAGAUCACUACUUCAUACAGUCAAAAUGAACAAUUUUCACCGUCCUUCUCCUCCAAUGACUUGGAUCACCAUAUCAAUACUUCUUUUGAAUGGGAGUUCAGAGAUGAGAAUCCUUCAUUUCUUCAAGAUAAUGCUACUGGAUUAGUUCCACUAUUUUCUCAUAGUGAUAAAGGCAUAGACAAGCAGAAUUUGUCUGAAUCAAAUUUUAAAGAUAAUAGUUUUUCAGUUACUGGAGGAACAACUUACAAUGACUUGUUUCUUGGUGACGACUAUGUUAAUUCUUCAACAAUGGAGGAUAACACUGAAUUUUUUUCAUUGUUGGAAUCUUUCUUUUCUAGUUGAUUGUAAGCUUUCUCUGUAUUUCCUUUGCAGUGUAAUAAAAUGUUCUUGUGAUCUCUCAAUUUUUUCUUUGGCAUAUUGAUCAUAGUUUAAUUCUUAUCAUCCCCUAAAUGAUGAAGUAAAUGUGUACGGAAUCAAUAUUUAUAGUCAUCAACUAUGAGAUUAAAAAAGAAAAAUUCAUACAAAUAUUUUAUACUCGACCAAUCAACCCCAAACUUAAAAAUCUCCCAAAUUAACUAGAAUUAAGAGUUAAUUUUAUUUUAUAUUUUAAAUUAAAUAGCUCUUAUUAUUUGGGUUCUUAAUUAGUUUUAAGUAUUUAAUUAAUUAUUUUUAAAAAAUAUUUAGAACAAAAUUUUAUUUAUUAUAAUAUAAAGAUAUCAGUAUUUUAUUUUAAAAAAAAGAUAUCAACAUUUAUAAUCACUAUCAUUUUUAAUUUCUUUCUUCAGUUGAAGAAAUAAAAAAAAAAUAAAAUAUAUUUAAAAUUUAUUAUUAAAUAUAUCAAAUCAUAAAAAUAUUUUAUAGAUUAAUGUUCGGGUAAAAAUUAAACCUAACGGACAUAAAUCAAUAUUUUACUAAAUAUAUGAAUUAAGCCAAACGAACAAGAAAUUUAUUUAUUUAAGCUUACCGGUACAGAUUUUAUCGCAUAAUCAUUCUAGGGAUGACUUAAAUUAAAAAUAUAUUUUUAUAAUAAUAUAUAUUUAAUUUAAAUAAUAUAUUUAUAUAUAAUAGAAAUUGAUUUAGUCAGAAAUCUAAUUGGAUAAAAAAUUUAAUUAAAUUUUAAAACCUACUCGGAUUCGAUAAAGUUUUAUAUUUUAAAAUUAUAAAACUAUACCGAAAUCAAAGUUUGUAAAAUUCACUCAAGACUCCAUCUAUUGUUACCCUAAACCAUGUUCAAACCAUAUGAGAAUUGAACUUUGUGAUUCAGCCAGUUGUUUUACUUAUGAUGGUAUAGAGCCAACGGUCCAAAAAGUUGAAAAAAAUUUGGAUGUAUCUUCUUCUAAAAAAAAUCACUUUACCCUACAAGUCCUUGUUUCUUUCUGAAAAUCUAUCUAGGUUUUACCAUGAAAAUGAUGAAGGCUGUGAAGAAGCUCAAAAUCUGGUCAAGAUCCAAGAAGAAAAGGAAGUACCUUGAGGAGCCCCACUACCCUGUUCCGAUGCACCAGUGUUGUUGCUGUUCAUGCUCCUCCGUCCAGUCCUCAGCUCCUCCAUUGCCGCCAUGGCCUGAUCAAUUCUCAUAUCAGAUUCAAGCUGAUGAAACAGAAGGUGUAGAAGAAAGUAAAUUCAUCCAUUCAAAAUUCCCUCAAGUAGACGAAGGUAUAAUCACGAGUAGGUCAAUGUAUCAGCAAUAUAUGGUUCAAAAUCCUGUGUAUGACAUGCCUGAGCCUGUUGUUGAGAUAGUUAGAAGAGAAAGAUCAGGUGGGUACGUUGUUAAUUCGUUAGCAUACAUCUUCUUCCUAUUUUUUUCUAAAAAAAUUCAGCAAUGGUAAAAAUAUGUUUUUGUACCUUUUUUUUUGUAAAAAAGAAUUUUCAGUCUUAAUUUUAUUGUACCUAAUAUUUUAAUGUAAUAUAAAGUUUUAAUAAAAAUUCAUACCUAACUUUGGUUACAUUCACACCAAACGCGGGCAAGAAAGAGCCCCAGCAAACUCCACUCUGUACGCUAUGAGCUUCUCUAUGCAAUUCUUUAUCUCUUUCUGACUAUUUGUUCUCUGUGUAUUGCUCUUGCAAAAAAGCCAAGCAAAUAUGAGAAUCAAUGAACAAAAAAUUAGUCCUCAAAGAUGCUCAGAUUUAAAAAUACGUAAAGCUGGUGAUUCCUAAUUAUAAUGAUUUUGCUUCCAGGGGAAAACCAUUCUAGCAUUCCAAUUAUUUUAUCUAAAUGUCCCGAGUCAUCCACGUCAUCGGGAACAACAAGAACUCCUAUAAAGCAUAUAAUUCUUUUUUAUCUUACUAAUCCCCUCAUCAACAUUGUUGAACUUGUAUUUCUAAAUCUUGAUAAAUCCAAAAGAAGUUGUUCUUGUAAGUGAAGCAAACCGUGGAAACUGUGCUGCAGUUGCUCUGACAUCUGCAAGAAAUCUUCUGUCCCUGAAUUUUUCAAAGUUGAUGUUAUAAACAGUCUUAGCAAAUAUCAUCUUCCCUGUCCCUCCAAUCCCACUUGCUAUGUCAACUCCAUUUGAUCCAUCUUGAGUUCAGGCUUGAUUUCUUCUCCAAGAUCAUCUCUUCCAACUAACUAUUGGGCGAAAUUGAACAGUGCCUCAUGCCUGCCUAGAAAAAAAAACGAAAGUUAUGAUUGCUUCCCAACUGCUGAAAUUUAGUAAAAAUCUCAACAAGCGGAGAACGUGGAGUUUUCCAAAUAACAGUUACAAACUAACCAAUUAAAUAUAAUUUAUUAUAUGCACAUUUAUCCAUGUAAAUUGAUCAUUUAAAUUUGAGAAGUAUGUUAUGGAGCACAUAUAAAAAUAAAAAUCCGUAAAACAGAGGAAACUUAUAUAUUUCACAAUGCUUUCGACAAAAUUAUGGCCGUGUCUCUAAACCCUCUGCUCUAGAAUUAACACAAAGAAAAUGCGUGGUAAUAGUUUGUAGUUUAUUGAGAAGAAAGCUGAGAUCAAGCUUACAUAUGUCACAAAAAUCAUUUCUCCCAAGUCAGCAACCUCCCUCGCAGCACCUCAGCUGUUGUAUUUUGUUCUUUACAUCUUUUAGGUGCUCUUCAUGUGCGGCAAAUGUUUCAGAAAAACUCCCUCGCAGUAUACUUCCUAACAUGUGUUGGAUCUACUUCAUAGAACACUGGCAAGUUAUCUGUUCAGUGGUUCUCCUGUGUUACAUGAUCUUACCUAGUUCAUCAGGAAACCACAGAGAAGAGGCACAAUUUUAGGAGAAGAUAAUUAUUUAUAUUGAGACUCCAAUGGCUUUUUCAAGUUAUUUUAUUCAUAUCCUUUCCUCUUUCAACCCCAUCAUCAUCUUUAGAUGUAUGAAUUCCUGCCCGCAGUAGGGCCCUAUAAAGGUGAUCCGUGAAGCUCCAGCACCUCAUAAACUUAAGAACAUAUACUAAGCAUAUCCAGAACCUGAGGAGGAAGCUCGCUGCUCUGCACUCGCUGCAUCCAUUGAUAACCAAAAAUUUCAGGAGUAUCGAUUGAAAGCAGAUCGGUGAUGAAUAGAUAAUAAAGCACCAAGGAUCGACAUAAAUUUGUUGGCUCAAGCAAAUCAAUUAUGAUAUUUUUUUGGAGGAAAUUUCCACUUUAACAAUCAUGAUAAGCUAGUGAGCUAAAUCACAUCUUACCAUUUGCCUUUAACAAAAUUUCCGUCUUCUUUAAUUACUCCAACAAUGCAUCUUAGCUUUUACAAGGUAUUAAUUAAUAACUACAUGUGAUAAAUACAGAGGACUUUUAGGUAUUCUUGAUUAGACCCUAGAAUUGAUCGGAUCCUAGAAUUCUCUUCUAGGACCAAAUAUCAUUUAAGUACCAUAACUUCAAACUACAUUAAAAAUUAUCCAUAAGAUUUUGAGUUACAUUCAAUAAGAUACUCUAAUCUUUAAUUAGUCUCCCAAUACAUCUAUCACCAUACAAAUACCUGAAGAAAAUCUCAUCCUUGACAAUCUAGCCAUGUAAAUGCUUCCUUUUAUAAAUGCCACCUUAAUUUAAGUUAGCAUAAUAAUUAGAAUGGGCUUUGCAAAACCUCCAGCCCCAUCCUCGUGCAUCAUCAUCUAUGAAAAAACCUAAUUGCCUUACUAAAAGCAAUUCACAAACUAAUUAAUAAUACUUAAUCUAUUAAUACAUCCUUUCUAGGAAAGCUUUCUGAAUAAAAAGAGCAAAUCCAUGUCUCAAGAAUCGAUUCCACAUAUAAAAUAAUUCUAAAAACGUUUUAUGUGUAUUAUCUAUCACUCACAUAUAAAAUUUGCUUCAUAUUCACAUAAACAACUCAGUAGUCAACCAAAUCUAUCAAUUGUCACUUAUAAAAAUUAUGACCUAAAAAUCCCUUCUAGUAUCUGUAUUCCCAUGUACUAGGUUAAUCUUAUAACUAGAGCAAAAAAGAUAAAUCACAUCAGAAUCCCGGAUGUAGAAACCUUACUCAAAUUUGGUCAAUAGGUAAAUGACAUUUGUGUGAGUGUUAUCUCUUGUGCACUAACAUGUAGUAACUGAUUAAGAAACAAAUUAUCCGCUUAGUGAAUCAACUUUGAUGGAGCCAAUCAAACUACAUGCUGGAAUUUUUCGGAUUUUAGACUCUGCCAUCGCUUUCCUCCAAUUAGCAGCAUCUCCCCACCUUUCCCCAACAGCACUUAUAUUUGACAACACCACAUAUCGGCCACAAUGUUUUGGCUGUAAUUCAAGGAGCUUCUUUCCUACUUCAUUUCCCAACUGAACGUCCCCAUGAAUCUUACAAGCACCAGAAAGAGCUCCCAAAACAGAGGCAUCAGGCAGCAAGGGCAUGCAAAGUACAAACUCAACUGCAUCUCUCAGAAGUCCUGCUCGGCCCAAGAGAUCAACAGCACAGCCAUAAUGCUCCAUUAUUGGUACAAACCCAUAUCGACUUGACACUUACAGAAACAACUUCAAACCCAAGUCAACAAGUUUUGCUCGAGCACAAGAUGUAAGAAUAGCAACAAAGGUAACCUCAUUGGAGCAAAAUCCUUGCACUUUCAUCUUCUCAAACAUACAUAGAGCUUGCUUCGCCCUGCCAUGACAGGCAAGUGAAGAAAUCAUUGCAUUCCAAGUGAAAACCUCUUUAACCUCUAUCCGAUUGAAUACUCUUUUUGCAGUCUCCAAACAACCUGCCUUUCCAUACAAAUCUACCAACGCAGCCCCCACGACAGCGCUCAAACUGAACCCAUUCUUAACAACAUAUCCAUGUAUCUGCUUCCUUUGAUAAAGACCAGUUCCAUCUAAAUUAGCACAAGAAGACAGCACAGUAACAAAUGCAGCCUCAUUAGACUUUACGGAACCGCGGACCACAUCCUCGUGAACCAUAAUCUUUGCAAAAAGUGGCAAUGCAUCAACAAAGCGUCCAUUCAUCACGAACCCAUUAAUAACACUCGUCCAUGAAACCACGUCCUUCCCGGGCAUGCUCUGGAAAUACAGAAAAGCAGAACCCAUGUCUCCAUUCCUCCCAAAAGCGUCAAGUAAAGCAUUACACGCUACAAUACAUGGAUGAGGAAUUUCCACAAACAUCUUACGUGCAGUGCGUAUGUCACACACUUCGGCGUCCACACUCACGGAUGAAGUUUGCACAAAUGGGUCGCAUAAAACACCCCAUUUGAGAGCAUGAGCAUGGAGAAUUGGGCCAGAUGAGGGAGAGCAAGAAGCAGCUUUGAUUAGAGACGGGAAAGUGAGAUGGUUUGGUGAAAGUCCGUGUGCAAUCAUGCGGGUGAAAAGUAGUAAAGAAGUACAAGAGAGUCCCGUAGAGAGAUAAGAUCAAAUGAGAGUGUUGUAAAUGAGAACGGUGUUCCAUGAAGAAGUGUGGUUGAGGAGAGAGCCGCGGGUGAUAAGAAGGGAAUGAAUCUGUUUGAUCUGGUUGGGACAGUGGAUGAAAUGCUGGAGAAGAAGCUCGGGACUUGAAAAUCCAGAAAACCCACCUGUUACCAGAAGCUUUAAAAUCAAAACUUGAUUAGAUGCCCGUUCUUGUCCACCAUCUGCCCAGUUCAUAUAUUAUUAUUUUUGGAUCAAAUUAACAUUUUUUUUUUCUCAUGCUUCUUUCAAUUCAUAUAUGUAUAUAUAUAUAUAUAUAAAUUUAAUUCCAACAAAAAAUGAAGAAAAUUCUUUUAUUUUACUAUUUAUUUUCUGUGUUUUAAAAUAAUAAUAAUUAUUAAAUUUUAUUAAACUUAUCGAGAAAGAUUGAUUGAUUUUAUUUAAUCUAUACAAUCAUAUUAUUAAUAAAUUAAAAAAAGUUCGAUUACAACUGUUUUUUAAUCUUUCUAAGUUUUCUAACGAAAAAUAAAUUCUACGCAGAGAAAAUCUUUUCUCGACAUAGGUUAAAUUUUUAUUCAAUUUUUAACACUGUGUAUAUUUAUUAAAAUCGAGUCUAAAAUAAUUAUGAACUCAACUUGAAAAAAAUGCUUUGACAUUAAUAAAAUGGAGAACAAAAUCAAUAUUUUAAACUAUAAAAUUUACAUAUUAAAAACUAGAAAAUAACCAACCCUAUCACCUAAAGAAAAGAAAGUGACAAUCACAAAUUACCAUAUUCAAUUCAUUUAUAAUAAUCAUAAAUUACCCUCUUCGAAAAUUCUUAUAUUUCACUUCUGUUCUUCUAUCUUCAUUUCUCCACUAAUUUUCCGUAAAGAUUAAUUUGCAAUCGUUAUGCUUGCAACAUCAUUAUGAAAAUUUUCUGCCAUUGUGCAAUAUUCUUGCAGUCAAUCGCUUCAGACUAUUCUAGUGCUUGAUCCGAUCAUCUUUUAUGCAGAAAUAAUAUAAUAAUACCCCACUCAUUUGGACUGUUGUUUGGAGAUUAUAAGCUUUAGAUAGCAUUUUUAUUAAGUGUUUUAAUUCAAUAAUUAAAACACUAAUUGAACAAAAACUCAAAGUUCUACAUAAGAAAAAAGAUUGACAGUCAAACUAUUACCAUAACAUUUGUAAGACACAUUUUUUGUGUAAAACUUUGAACCUUACAGGACUAAGGCAAAGUACAAGUUAAUCUAUUGUUGGUUCUGGGUGCUAAUAUAUGAAUGUUCCUGUAUAAGCCUAUGGGGAGUAAGUCGUGCAAGAGGUCAAAAGAAAGGGAACAUACGAUAUGGGAUUUUGUCUGUAACAGGAUUCUAGUGGACAUAUUGGAGCUGCUAGCGGUAGCUGCUGUUUUCCUCACAUGGUUUUAUGGAUCCUGUUUAUGUGGAGUAUGAUAUUUAGUGAAAAAUAUUUUAUCAAGAAAGAGUGAGACUUACCUUAUAAAGACUUUGGGUAUUACAGUUUUAUUGUUUUGUUUCGAUAAGAGAGUGCUUAGUGCUGGUUCAAGUUUUUGGUAAAGACUGAAAACUAGUCAGCUCCACAUUCCUUGCAUGAUAUUAAUCAAGGUCGAUAUGCUUUUCAUUCUCAAGUUGUUUUUCUUUUUUGUUCAUUUUAAUUUUUUUUACGAAUGUGUUAGAUAAGAUGGUAUGGUUAGCUUCUGUAUAUAAGGAAUAUAUACCUUUCAUCUGUUUUGAUUUUCACUACAUGAAUGUUUGAUUUGUGAGAAGCUUCUCCUGAAAGAGACUAUUGAAACAGUUAGCCUCUUUGGUUUUACCUUAUUUCAGCUUAUUCUUCUAUUGAUCUGAAUACAUGUUUAACCUGUUUUGUUAUGUUUUAUUUUUCUUUUCGAGAUUUUUCAUAAUUUUUUAUGUGAUUGUUCCUCUCUGAGUAAUCUAUUUUAUUAAAUAUUAGUGCUAUUUAAUUUAUUAUUUUAAAUUUAAUUUUUAGGAAAAAUAAAUAAUAAUUUUUAAAUAUAUAUUUUGUUUUGGUUUAAUUUUAAAAAUAAUAUUUUUUUUCUAGAAAAUUCUGUAAUUGAACAUCUCUUUUUUAAUUUAAAUUUGUAAUUUUAUGAUUAAUUUAUUAUUUUUAUGAUUUUUUUUUAUAUUUUUAAUUUGUUUUGUUAUACAUUAUUAUUUUGCUUGCAAAUUAUAGUUAUAAUUAUAAUUAAAUUAAUUUAACAGCCCCAACUCAUAACCUGCAAACGACAGCGUUUUGGAAGAGGUUAUUGGCGGGAAGGGGGGAGUGUUUUAAGGGAAUUUAGAAAGGUUUAGGGGCAAAAUUGGAAAUACAGCUGUUCCAACGGUCUUCUUCUCUCUAUAUAUAUAGCACCGACCACUCCCUCUCUCUACUCAGCUUUCAGACAGAUCACAUUCCUUCUUCCCUUUCCUCCCGAUUCUCUCUGUUCAUUGGAAACGUUUCGUUUCCUUCCGAUUUCUCUCAAAUUCAAUCGACUGCUUCGACUUUGCUUCUCCGCUCGCUUCUCUGGUAAGGAUCUCCACUGCCGCUUUCUUUUUUUUUUUUCCAUUAAAGAUUCAUAUUGCAAAUCUUCUUCUUUAAUUUUUUCAAAGAACUCUUUAAUGUUUGUGGUUCUCUUAAUAUUCGUGAUUCUUUUACGAGAUAAAACAUAAAAUCAUGUCCUCUGAGUCAGAUCUGGAAUCCACCGUAACACUCAUUUAGGGAAAAGUCACCAAAAUCUAAGAUCCGUGUAAUCCUUUUUCGGUAACAAACGACCAAUAAAAAAUAUUAAAAAAGAAACCCAGAAAAUCCUCUGUGAAAAUAAAAAAACGAAAAGAGAUCAAAACCCUAGAUCUUGAAAUAAGACUGAUUACUUCUCCCUGGCUUUUCUGUAAUUAGGUUGUGUGGAGUUUUGCAUUUGAGAAUCUUGAAAUGAAUCUGUAAAAUGCAAUCUUUAUAAUGUUAUUAAGGUUUGAGCUCACCAUUACAACGUAAUGGCCUCAAACCCCAUGGAGGAGUCCUAAUCAUAAUGUAUCUUUGUUUUUUAACUGGGUACAAAUUGCAAUGGUGGUGGUUCUGCUAUUUGGGGUUUGAGGACUAAUUAUAAUGUAUAUAAUUUUCAUUUAGUUUGAGGACAAACUACAAUUGUAUAAUGGAUUGUAUUAUUACGGGUUCUCUGCGUUAUUAUGUUUGUUAUUUCAAUUAUUCGGGGCUUAUAGUUGAAAUUCCAAUGUAUAUUAUUUUUAUUGGAUGAGAAGCAUAUUGGGUUCUAUUAUUAUUAUAUAUAUUAUAUAUUUUUUCAAUUAAUUGUACUCAAAUUAUGGGUUUUGGAUCUUGUGGUUGUAUUCCAUAUUACAAUAUAUAUGUAAUAUUUGUAGGUGUCAAGUCUGUUUAUAGUUGAAAUUCCAAUGUAUAUUAUUUUUAUUGGAUGAGAAGCCUAUUGGGUUCUAUUAUUAUUAUAUAUAUUAUAUAUUUUUUCAAUUAGUUGUACUCAAAUUAUGGGUUUUGGAUCUUGUGGUUGUAUUCCAUAUUACAAUAUGUAUGUAAUAUUUGUAGGCGUCAAGUCUGUUUAUUUAUCUUAUAAUAUUGUUAUUAAGUUUUGUAAUAUUUUUUACAGGUUGUAUAUAAUAUUUAUAAGUUUUGAGCCUAUUGGAUUGUAUUUUUAUUAUUUUCGUCAUGAUAUUACCCACAUUAUUGUAUUUGGAUAAUGGAUUUCGGAUCAUUUGGUUGUAUUUCAUAUUAUAAUAUAUAUGUAAUAUUCAUAGGUAUCAAGCCUAUUGAAUUGUUUUAAUAUUGUUACGAAGUUUUGUUAUAUUUUUUAUAGGUUGUAUGUAAUAUUUAUAAGCUUUGAGCCUAUUGGAUUGUAUUUUUAUUAUUUUCGUCAUGAUAUUACCCACAUUAUUGUAUUUGAAUAAUGGAUUUCGGAUCAUUUGGUUGUAUUCCAUAUUACAAUAUAUAUGUAAUAUUCGUAGGUAUCAAGCCUAUUGAAUUGUUUUAAUAUUGUUACGAAGUUUUGUUAUAUUUUUUACGGGUUGUAUGUAAUAGUUAUAAAUUUCGAGCCUAUUUCGUUGUAAUAUUAUUAUUAUCACGAUGAUAUUACCCACAUUAUUGUAUUAGAAUAAUAGAUUUUGGAUCAUUUGGUUGUAUUCCAUAUUACAAUAUAUAUGUAAUAUUCAUAGGUAUCAAGCCUAUUGAAUUGUUUUAAUAUUGUUACGAAAUUUUGUUAUAUUUUUUACGGGUUGUAUGUAAUAGUUAUAAGUUUCGAGCCUAUUUCGUUUGUAAUAUUAUUAUUAUCACGAUGAUAUGACACACAAUAUUGUUUUUGAAUUAUG